rnacentral:misc_RNA from 1 species
CCGAGUGUAGGGUUCCUAGCGAGCCCAACCUCCCACCCGUGUUUACUGUACCUUAGUUGCUUCGGCGGGCCCGCCAUUCAUGGCCGCCGGGGGCUCUCAGCCCCGGGCCCGCGCCCGCCGGAGACACCACGAACUCUGUCUGAUCUAGUGAAGUCUGAGUUGAUUGUAUCGCAAUCAGUUAAAACUUUCAACAAUGGAUCUCUUGGUUCCGGCAUCGAUGAAGAACGCAGCGAAAUGCGAUAACUAGUGUGAAUUGCAGAAUUCCGUGAAUCAUCGAGUCUUUGAACGCACAUUGCGCCCCCUGGUAUUCCGGGGGGCAUGCCUGUCCGAGCGUCAUUGCUGCCCAUCAAGCACGGCUUGUGUGUUGGGUCGUCGUCCCCUCUCCGGGGGGGACGGGCCCCAAAGGCAGCGGCGGCACCGCGUCCGAUCCUCGAGCGUAUGGGGCUUUGUCACCCGCUCUGUAGGCCCGGCCGGCGCUUGCCGAACGCAAAUCAAUCUUUUUCCAG